ensembl:lncRNA
AAUUAUAUUACAGGUAAUUUAUCUUGACGCUUUUAUCCAAAGCAACUUACAACAACUUAGCUAUUUACAUUUUUGCUCGAGGACACCUCGACAUGGGACAGGGAGCAGCCGGCCAACCUUGCGGUUCCCAGCGCACCAGCUCUACCCAAUGGUUCUUUUGAAGGCAAUGUGGUUCGACAAAGAACCGCCACCUUCUAAAGAACCAUAUCUAUUCGAUGGUUCUUAAAAGGGUUGUUAAUUAAUGGUGGAAGAUGGGGAAAAAACACCUCCGUGCCAGGAUCUGUGUUAGCUGCCAGCACCUUAAUUGGUGCCUGUAACUUGGCUGGACCUCAUUUUGUUAAUGUUAAAAGGUAUCAGUUUGUGGUAAUAUUAGAUUUUUGAAACUUUCAUUUCGGAUGUUUUCUAACGGUAACUAGAGCGUUAGUUAGCUAACGUUAAUAUCCUCUAUUGCGCUGCUACUAGUUAGCCAACUAACAUUACAUUGUUAGCCCAAUAGCCUACAUAGGUCUUCAACAGGGGGUCUAGCAAAGACGUUUUGACUGGUCGAUCAGAUGGGUUUGUGGGGCGCUACUUCGAAGGAACCACAAGACUCCCAUUACGUGAGGUGUGACUGAGCGGCUUGAAGAACCUUGAGAUCCGAACGGAUGUAACGUUGGUAGGCUUGUGAGGAGCAGCGUCCCGUGAUUUGCAUGAGGUGUUCUGGGCUGCCAGUGCGGGAGGCUGUGGUAGCAGCGCCGAUUCUAAAGGAGUGACCAGAAUACAAAAUGGGGGAAAUGCUGGGCAAGGAGAGAAUGUGGCAGAAGUGCUUGUGGAACCAGAAUCUGGUGGCAACUUCGACUCUGAGAUGAAGAGUGGGUCUGCUGGUGAUGGGCUUUGGGAUUGUCACAGCUAUGUGGAUAGGGUUUCGAAUGGACUCAAGGGUGACUAUCUUGAAGUAAAAGACAGGUGUCGGUCGGCCUGGUUGCUUUUCGUUUGCUUUAAGUAGAAGGUCACGGUGUCUUCCGAAAGACUGGAUAAGUCGGAUAUGCAAGCAUGGUGGCCUGCAUUGAAGGUGAGGGUUGAAGGGGUAAAUUCUGAGCAUCUGAGGAAUCCGAAAUAGGCCAGGGAGAACAUGGCUUCCAAGAUCAGGGCAAUGUGCGGGUUGCUGUAUCUGGAACGGAUAAGGAUGGUACGGGAGGUCAAAAGGUGACUGGGAGGCGACGAGGGCCAUGUCUGCAAGAGGGGCCAAGCUUCAAAAUUUCUGAAAUGAAAAACAACAAAGGGAGUCAGCGACAGUGUUACGAUGCCUGGCAAUAUGAGCAGCACGUAGAAUGUAAUCAGUGCUUCCCCUAAGUUUACAACUUCGGGGUCGGUGUAGUAAUUGGGGAAAUGUAUUAUUCAGGCCAAAAAGGCUAGUAGUCGGGCAAACGGUCAGUCGACAGGGCGUGCGUAUUAGUUGUCUCUGUGCCUCAAGGGCAGCUGGUUAUGAAAAAUGGACACCUGUUAACCGUUUGUUGUUAUGUAAACAGGUGAGUUAUAGCUCACACUUCUUUUUGGUCCAGCAACUGUUUGCACAUGUGUAGGUAUGUAUAUAGAUAUGUGUGCGAGCAUGCACGCAUGAUUUCUUAAUCCUUUAUGACAAUAAACUGAGUGUCUCUUUGGCUUGUGGACAAAACAAGAGAUUUGAGGAUGUCAUCUUGUUGUUUUUCAAAAAUGUUUGACAUUUUAUACACAACAACUAAUUGAUUAAUCAUUUACAUAAUUGACAGAUUCAUCGAUAAUGGAAAUAAUUGUUAGUUGCAGCCCCAUUUUGUUGAUAGUGAUUUAAACUUACAAUUCAUUUUAUAUUGUGGAUGUUUUAUGAUGUGUUAAUUACAUACAUGUGCUCUGCAUGAUCAAAUCUAGCAUGUAUUUUGUUACAGGUUUGUAGUUGAACAGUUUUAUAGACAACAAAUAGUGAAUUAACCCAGAAUUGUAGUUAAUUUGACCCAGCAUUUGGGUGGAAUAUUUAACAACUAUAUGUAGCUGAAACGACCCAGAAUUGUAGUUAAUUUGACCCAGCAUUUGGGUAGAAUAGUUAACUCAUCUGUUGGGUUAAAAUGGACCAACCCAUCGUGCUGGGUCAAAUUACGCCUGCUUUGUUUUGCACAGUUUCUGUGAGGAGUCUGUGAGUGAACAAUCGGUGUUGGAAACAAUAGAUAGUGCCCAUAACGUAGCCUCCUUCAUAAAUCAACAACUAUCUCACUGACUGUAAUGAGAUGGAGGGUAAGAGAGUGAGGAGAGUGCUCACAAAGUACCUUGACCGUUAAGAAAGACUGUUUUCAUUGUAUGGUUUUUCAUUUUGUGCACUCUUCAAAAACUGACUUGAACUGUGUCCACUGAAAAUAAACAUGACUGCAACAGCUGCUAGAACCUUUUUUUUACUGGAUGUACAAAUGCAAUAUAACUGUCCUUUAGGACAGAGAAGUGGUAAUUAAAGAAUCAAGUAUAAAAACGUAACACACAAAUUAACUAAAAUAACAGGUGUAAAGCGCAGUGCAUGGUCACUGCAUCCUUUUGAACGCCUCAAGGCCAGAUUUGCUGCACUGUGCAGGCCUCAACUUAGAUACUUUAUUAAUCCAGAGGGAAAUUUAGGUAAUCAAGUAUCUUAUACACCUAUGCAAAUCACAGACAUGCAUUCAUAAAUCAAACUCCUUGUGAACAGGUUUUCCCUUUCUUCUUCUGUUCUUGUGUUUAGUUGUUAUGUUUGUGUUCGUUGUGUUCGUUUGUAUACGGCGCGCAUGUCUCAGGCCGUUUCUCAAUAUGCGUUCUUGUGUGGACUUUUGUUCUCGUGGACUCGUGAAACGUCAUCAGUCACAGCCCGAGUACUGUUCCAAUUCUCAAGUCCGCAUCUGGGCGAGAACGGUCAUAAUACCCGGAUGUGACUCGCCCCGCCCAUUUUACCGGGCAUGCAUCGAAGCAGGCUCGUCUGUUCUUGUGAGAGACAUAUAUCCCAGAAUGCAUUUCACCUCAGCAAGCUGCGAUGGCAGAUGAGAUACUUGCGUGCGUAAACAAAGACCGCCUACUGUGGUGACGUCAUCAAGUCAGCUGCUGUUCCAAUUGCGGAAAUGUCCGUUCUCCGUUCUCCUGUACCCGUGAGUCCGGACUCCCGAGUCUGUCUCCCGAGUCUGUGUCCCGAGUCUAUUCUCGCGGGAACGCGAGUCCGUUCUCGCCGUCUUAGGUAUUGAGAAACGGCCUUAUACGCAUGCUCCUGUCUUCUCCUUCCGUUUUCUUCAGUUGUCUGUAGCACCUUAAAGCGCCACCAACAGGCGUGGGGGAUGUACUACAGCGGAGUCAAUCAGAUUCACUGGGUUCAUGUGCACGCAAUUUAAAAAGUGGGUAGGUGUGAAAAAUUAACCCGGGUUCAGGCAAACUAGAGUCCGUCUGCAUGGGGUCUAAAAGACAAAAUCCCCGUAAGGCAGCCGGCCGGACUUAGUUUCCCCUCACACCCUGAAGCAUUGUGCUGACCAGCUGUCUCCAGUGUUCACUGACAUCUUCAACACCUCCCCGGAGACAUGCCACGUACCAGCCUGCUUCAAGGGCUCCACCAUCAUCCCUGUUCCCAAGAUGCCCAGGAUCACAGGACUCAAUGACUACAGGCCUGUCGCCCUGACCUCUGUAGUCAUGAAGUCUUUUGAACGGAUAGUCCUGACCCACCUGAAGUCCCUCACCGACCCCCUCCUGGACCCCCUGCAGUUCGCCUACAGAGCCAACAGGUCUGUGGACGAUACUGUCAACAUGGCCCUCCACUACAUCCUCCAGCAUCUGGACUCCCUAAGAACCUACGCCAGGAUCCUGUUUGUGGACUUCAGCUCUGCCUUCAACACCAUCAUCCCGUCUCUGCUGCAGGACAAACUCUCCCAGCUGCACGUGCCCGACUCCACCUGCAAGUGGAUCACAGACUUCCUGUCUGACAGGAAGCAGCACGUGAAGCUGGGGAAACAUGUCUCAGCCUCUCGGACCAUCAGCACCGGUUCCCCCCAAGGCUGCGUUCUUUCCCCUCUGCUCUUCUCCCUGUACACCAACAGCUGCACCUCCAGUCACCAGUCCGUCAAGCUCCUGAAGAUUGCGGAUGACACCACCCUCAUUGGACUGAUCUCUGGUGGGGAUGAGUCCGCCUACAGGUGGGAGUCUGACCAUCUGGUGUCCUGGUGCUCAUCAACAGAGCCCGUUCCCCCACUGACUGACUAUAAUAUUCCACCGCUGCACAUGUCACUUUAACUGUAAUUUUUCAUUCGUCACUUUGUUGUCACUUGUUCGAUAGUGCACUUUAUUUUGUUAUUUUAUACUAACCCAUAGCCUUAUUCUACUAACCCAUUGCAUUAGCAUUUUAUUUUAUUACUUGUGCACUGCUAUCUUGUUGUCUGUUUUGUGUCUACUGUCCACCAAGCACCAAGAAAAAUUCUUUGUAUGUUUGACAUAUUUUGGCAAUAAAUGUUUCCUGAUUCCUAAAGAUGCGAGCGUGUUGAUGUGGGGAAUGGGGACACUGUUGCUGAGUGGUGCUGGACGGUAAGGUGGGCUGAUGUCCUUUGCCUUUGUGCUGGGUGAUUUGGGUGUACUGUGCCUUUAACUGGUUUGCUCCCGAGUCCUUGUAAGGAUUUGUUCACAAACGACACAUCACUACUACGGGGUGGUUCGGUCCUCUCUCAAAGUGGCGUUGUCUCCAUCAUCGGAGGUGGAAAGCACGGUGGCAUCCAGGUUGCAAACUAGGUGGAUAAGCUGAUCGUAAGUAGUUUUAACGGUCGAGGCAUGGUCCUGCUCCCAAAAUGAUGGUAAUUAGCUUCCAUUAUUGGGUAAAAUAUACCCAAAGUGAGUGAUGAUUUUACCAACUUAAUGUUUAUAGGGUUGAUUUAUCCCUGCCUCCAGUCAGCUCCCAGUUCAAAAUCUAAAGUUUAGAUGAAGUGGUAUCAAUCUUCUCAUCUUACUAUUGGAAUAAAAGUGAAUGAGGGGACACAGGACUAUCACCCAGAAGAUAAAGCCAAAGUUCAGUUCUUCUAAUUCACUUGAGUUCUAUUACACAAUUUCCGUAGUAAAUAAUACUUAUUAUUAUUUGCACCACAAACCCCAUUCUUAACAAGUAGUUUGAAUAUUAUUUUUGAAGAGUGUAUGCAUGAGCAAAAACUGACAUUAGAUGUGAACCUAGAGCUUUAUAAUUGUAGGAGCCAUGGGCCAAGCGGCCGUAUUCAAUGGGUUGGGGGAAUGUGUAUUCUGAUUACAUUCACACAAGCAAAAUCCAUUGGUAUUUUUUUUUUUUUUUUUACUAAAUUACCAAUAUCCAUAUUCAUGGCCUUAUCUGGUAAAGUGGGGAAACGUGACAGAAUUGAAGGCAAAGUAAAGAAAAGGACUAGCCAAAGUGUUUCCUUGACACAAUGACAGGUCCAGGCGGUCAGCCUGUCUCCAAGCAGGUUGGGUGUGAGUAUCUACAAUAAACUCCUGCUUUAGUGCAAACACAAAGAGAGAGAAAGACUGAAACACACACACACACAUACGUAACAUUCCAUUUCACAGUCUGCUGGAGUCUGACAAUCUGCGAAGGCUCAUACCCUGACUCCCAGUGACCCCCCAAACUAUUUUAGAGUGAUAUCUCUGAAUGCAUUACACAGCAGCCAAAGACCCUGGGACAGGGAGGGGCUCAGGAUAUAAUACAAGCUCGCUCUUUGCUGUCAUGCUGCCCGUAGUGGCCCUGCAAAAUAAAUUGAAUUCAUCCAAUAAUUCAUCCUUUUUAAAAGAGAAAGUCCGGCUUCAUUUAGUAUUUUGCACCAUCAGUUUCCAAUUAGCAACAGCUGAGAUUGAGGAACUUGGUGGAAAGAAAAAAAAGUGCAAUUGGGAAAAGAACACAAGCUGUCAGACAUUCAGAGAGCUUGUAAACAACCCCCCCAGGUUAGAAAGACUUAAUUAUCAGGGGAAAGGAAGUCAACUGGUAAAUUAUUCUCAGUUCACAGACCGACUCAUCUGGGUAACUUUUACACAGGAUUGAGGUAAUAGGAUGGAUCAGAGCAGCUUUUAGGUCUUAACAUCACAUUUUUUUGUGGCAGGUGAAAACCCUUAAACACGGCCAACCCACACACCGUCACACUAUUCUUACACCAACAUGUGUUCUGCUCUUGGCAUAGAAAUUGAUUUGUUUGAUGUGUGACUGGUCUGGUAAAGUACGUAAGUUACACAACAAAACUUUCUACAGGAGGCAGGGCCUGUUCAAUUUUUGAUCCAUCCAACCCUCUUUUCAGCGACUCUUUCAACUACACCAGUUGUCGCGACCAAUGUAACCCAAGUCAAAGGAAUGCAGAAUUUAAAAAAAACCUACAUUCUCUCUACUGAACAGCAGGAAGCAACUCCUCUGGUUGCCAAUAGGGCUAUCUUCUGGUUGACAGGUCGCUGCCACUACCGGAGUUGUAUACCGGUUGUCACUCAUCCGCAUUCCAAUUAUGACCAAUGAUUGAUGCCACACGACUGCGUUGACUUCUUAUGUACAGUCUAUGAUUGGUGAUUAGUUAGUGCCUAGAUGUUUUGGUAUUGGAUGCCAAAGGGCACUCAUUAUCCGGCUAUGAUUCAUCAUUCUUUCAUUUGAUUCCACUGUUUCAAUUACAUUUUUUGGGAUUAAAAAGAUAACUUUUUGAAAUUUUUAACCGAAUAGAAGUUCCAUUGGAAACCCUGCUGCAUCAGUUUUAGACUUUUUCACAGUUACAAAGGAGAUACAAUAUAAACAUUGCGUAAGAGCCUGAAGGUUUUGUCAAAAAGGCUUUCUUUUUUUUAUAUCCACGGUGCCUCUUCAGUGGGUUAACAUGGUUUGGCUCCCUCCUGUUGAGCUCUGGGCUGUUUUGAGCCACUCAGAAGGAGCUGAGGCAGUCAUAUUUCCACAGUGGUAGUCAAUGAGAUUGAUUUAGCUCUCCGUGAGGAGAUAAUCCGAGUUAUGAAAUGGAAUAUAUCUCCAAAUUGUUUAGUGAGAAAGUAUCAACUGUCCUUUUUAAAUGCAUUUUUCUCUCAGCUGGAGCAUUUCCACCUCUGGCUUAUAGUUAAAAAAACACACCACACUUUAACAACUAAACACUUAUGCAACAAUGCAAGGUUUGAACGUCGUUUUGCAUAAUUCACUCAGUAUUCUGUUCUAGUCAAUUACUUUAGAGUAGUGACUAGAGUGAAAUAAUUACCUUUAAGUGCAGCGAGCUACACAUUAACGAUGUUGCGGUUUUCAUGCUGUCAAAGUUUGGACAUGUAUGUUUUCUCUCUCUCUCUUUUUUAUAAAAAUUAACUUGUUUACCUUCAUUAGCACGUUAUUCAAAUGAGGUUUGUUAAUAGAACAGCAGGUACACUUCUCUUUGCCCGGCUGCAUCCCGCACCUCCACAACCUGGUGUUAUAUCACAGUGUCUCAGAGAGGCCCUGGUAACACUUUCCUCUCUGCAGGUGGUGGGUUUGUUUGUACACAUUAACAGUGGCUAAAUAUACAAUAUUUCAUCACUUGCUCACCGUCCAUAAAUCCCUAACGAGAUGUAUGCUAUUCAGUAAGAACUAGAAGUUUAUUACAUUAAUGGUACAUACAUACAUUUUGUUAAUUGCGGCUCUACUUGACUCUUCAGAGCUGCUUUUUUCAUGUUUUCCAUAAGCAAAAUGCAGAUUGUAUAUGUUUAUUUGUGUCAAACUCUUACUUUAAUACUGCAGAUCACUUAUUGGUCAGAGAGAAUCUUUAGUCUUUGUUUCCCACUAACAAUAACACUUUUUAGAUUUAGACAUUUAGCUCCAAAGAAAUAGCAGACAGCCAUUCACCUCAGAUUGUUGGUUACGUACCUUGUUUAAACAUCAUUGUUGAGGUUAGGCUAGGUAGUAAUGGCAGUUUAAUUUCGCUGAUCUUUCCAAUAAAUCGAAUGCUUGUACAAGUGUGGGCGAGAGGAAAGCAAGAUAAAGGAGGAGAGUGGGAGAGCUACACAAAGCCUCUAGCACGCAGUCUUUUCUCAUAUUCUGGCCUUGAACCGUACAUGCUGCUGGAAAGACUAAAUAAAAAGAAGCAAAAUAUUUUACAAUCAAAGCCUCUUUUGUGUCCAAUUCCUUACUCAUGCUGCAUUAAAACAAUCUGAUUGUUUUUUUCAUUCCUUUUUUUAUUUGCACAAUUUUCAAACCAUGACCUCCACAGACAGUUAUCGGGGUAGGCAGGACCCGAACGCAGAGUUUGAAAACAAGACUUUAAUCGUCAAAAUCCAAAUCAAAAAUGCCAAGGGGGCAAAAACGCAGGCGGGGACCAGGAACAAGACACUAAUCACGAGCAUGAAAACAUUCAGUAGUGAACAAUCAAUGACUCAACAAGGGACAAGCGACACACAUGCCUUAAAUACACUGGGAAGGUGCAGGUGAUCGGACGCAGGUGGAAACAAUCAUGGACACGGCAGACAAGGCAGGUGGAGUUAACCCAGGAGCACCACAGGCAUGAAACUACAAAAUAAAACAAGACGUGAACCCAAACUGUGACAAUUGGGUGACAUUGUCUUCUCUGUGCUUGUAAUGCACUUUAAUGAUUCAUGUCUUGAAAUGUCACCAAAAGAUUUUCAUAAAACUGCUUGGUUUUGUUUUUGUCAUGAUUGGAUUCCCAGUGGUUGAGAACACCUGAGGCCGUGUGAAGAUUGUGUGUGUGCAGUUUGUGCAGCAUAAUCUAAACACAGCAGUUAUACUUUGGAGUGUUGUGGUUACCUUUUUAGUAACUUAUAGUGAAAGACAUUUUGAGAUCCAUUAAUUACAUUACACCCUUUGUGCAGAACAUCCAACCCUCCACAGUGUCAUGACGUAGAAGGUUUACACUGUUAAGUGUUUUGGGCUUUCACCAUUUUGAGACUGCCUAUGUUGUAACAAGGGGUUGACAUUGUGUAACAAUUUUGGUUAAGUUUAUGACACAAUGAUUUAACAUUGUAACGGUUAAUGCUGUGGAACGGUUGUGGUUAGGUUUAGGCAAAAUAAAUAUUAAACAUUGUGAGCCAGUCACAGUUGGAUUCAUGCAACAGAAAUGGUUACCUUAGCGAAAUAGUUGAUUGGCUUAGCCAACAUUAUAAAAUGUCAGCACGCUGAUCCAUAAUUAUUAGAUUUCUGUUUGUAAGAAACCGGUCGAACAAAGUUUUAAUACAACUGUGCAGCCCAUCACCACCUCCUACUGCUACUGUAUAACACUUCAGAAGGAAAGGAAAUUGUCAGUGAACUGCGAUGCCCCGUCCUGUCCGGAUAGCCAAGUUGUUCACAUUUCCCCGUACACUAGUCAUUCGCUUUAUAACAACAUCGCAACAAGCUGAAGGCGCAACGCCAGGUGCACCUAGAAACGCUCCGAUGGUGCAAUUAUUCCUGCAUUCACUGCACCUGCCUUGGCUUUGGAAAUGAUUUCUACGCAGCAUGUUGCUUGUCAUUUUUCUCCAUGUAGCAAAUAUUCUUGAGGUCUUGGGAGGUGUGAACAGGAGUGCAGUCACACCUUAUUUAUGCCUUUCCCAUUUUGGCUGCAGUCAACACAAUAUGGAAUUUGGCAGAUCACCGUGUGGACUGUUCGUUAUACAACACUUUUUCCCUCCAGAUACGCAUAUGCCAUGGCAGAUUGUAGUCUUGCUCAGGGACACUUCGACAUGGGACAUGGAGCAGCCAGGGCUCAAACUGCCAACCUUGUGGUUCCCGGCGCACCCUCUCUACUCCAUGCGCCACCAUCGACCCACUUCACUUCUGACCACAUGGGACCCUGACAGAUCCAUAUGAAUGUGCGUGUGUUUGGGACACGCACGGACAAGGCAUAAAACCAUGCGUCACAUUGAUCGCAGCACAAGAUGCAGCUUUUCAUUAAUCAGCAACUCUGGCCGCUCUGUGCCUGUUGGUUAUAAAAGGCCUCCAUCAUCACAUGGAUUAUUAUUUUGUUCUCACUGAUACUUGGCACCUCAAUUGUUUCAAAGCCUGAGCUGUAGUCUAAUCUUGCAUGGUGUUCAUCAGUUUGCAUUAUGUUUGAAAUUAAGACACGCUUCACGUUGAACCAGUAGGUUAAUCUAGUGGGGUCAUUUUUGUCUCAGAGAAAAUACAACUACAAACGAAUCACAAAGCAGACAAAUUCCCUACAGCAUCUCCAGGUCAGUAUCCGUAUUACACAGUUUAUUCAUCACUAACUCCAAAUCCACAUAACCAGCAUGAAAAUGAAGACAAUCUAUAGAUGGAGCAGAGGCGGGGAGUUGUAAUUACACUGGUCCAAGAUGGUUGGAGCUGCACUGUGAUUGACCAGUCUGUGUUUGAGGGUCACGACUUUGAGAGGUCAAAUGGUUAAUGCUGCGUUUACAUGAAAAGGGAAGCAAAUUAUUUGCGUGAGUAGAUUCCAUGCAAAGUCAAGUCAAUGCACAGGUUGCGGAGGAAGCAAAUUUUCAACGGACGUGAAGAAGCGUAAAGGCUGGCGCAUGCUUCUGCGUCUUUACGUGCAGUUGCGGCGUCGCACUCGUAUUAAUUCCCAGUUCAAAAAGGCUUGCAUGUGUUGCAAAGUAAUUCACCGCCAGAACAAUCGGUGGAGUAACGUGUUUUGUUGAAGACAACAAGAGUCACGUCUUUGUGUAGAAGUCGUUGGUUUGUUUAUUUAUUUAUCAUAGACUUUAUUGCCCUGUGCAUCGCCACUGCUGCUUUUCAUCAAGGACACAUUUGUCCCGUGUUUUCCUCCACAACUUUGCACCUCUCAACCGGCAAAACGUUGUUUGUGGAGAUCUCCCUUCAUGAAUUGGAGUCCUUAUAGUCCGCCAAUGACGGGUUGUAGAAGUGGUCAUAUUUACAGAUUUCUUCCGACAAAAGCUCUUCAAUCUGAUCCGUUCUCUCGUAAAAAAAUCUUUGUUUUAAUAAUGGCGAUAUUGUGCUAUGAAACCGGAAAUGUGAGACUCCGAUGUAGGAUGUAGUUAGCAGACCAAUCACGGGCUGCGUGAGGCUUGCGUAGCUUUUGAUGCUAGGUCUAGAGAAAAUGGUCGAAGCAUGCAAGAAUUGGGUAAACUUUAUUACUUGUGCACUGCUGUCUUGUUGUCUAUUGUUACACUGUCUACCGUCAUGCAACAACCGCCAAGACAAAAAAUGUUUCCUGAUUCUUAUCCGUAGUCAGUGUCUUAGGCAGACAGUAGUAUCAGCAGGUGAGCAAAGCAAUGACCUGCAUUGUGUAUCUUACACACCUGAAAGUGAGGCCCACCUAAAGAAAUCAAUAUAAUUUUCUAUACGAUUUAUGUAGUCUGUCAAUGGAGUAUAUUGGCUUUGACGAGCUGUCUGAAGGACAUAUGAACUCAAGAUAAAGCAGCAAAUAAACAAUUAGUGGGCAGUGAUGCCAAAUUAUCAAACCAAGUAUACAGGAAACAACACUUUCUAUAAGCACACACAUUCAGAGCUGAUCCUUUUGAGAGGUGAGUUUCAGUGCAGGACCCUUGAGGUACAUUGCAGAAAAUUGUAACCGCACAUGUUGCACAGUAAUUUGUGCCCCCUCACCGGCAUUGCCUUCGCCUUGCCUUGUGUCGAUGCUAUGGAAGAUUGUGUAUGCGGCGAGACAGAUAUUAAUUGUGCUCCUGAGAGACAUUGGAGAGAACUAGGAGUUGUACCUGUAGUAAACACUUCUAGGGCAGAGUGUAUGUAUAGAGUAUAUAUCCUUGAAUGCCCCAUACCGCACACAGUAUACACAGGGAGGCAAACGGAGCUGGUAAUGAAAUUCUAACUCAACACGGUGAUAUGGGAGAGCAACAGCGGGCAGAUCAAUGCAGACAGUGGGUAAUGACUCUUGUGAUCCCUGUGGACCUUUUAGGUCAGCCCACAGCACCUUCUCUCCAACCUACCGUGGCUGUUGAAGCUGGUCCAUAUAUUACCUCCACUGUGGAAGUGAAGAAAGAGUCACUGCUAGUUACACACACACCAUGUACUGUCCACUAUGCUUGGUGAGUUUUUUAAAGAAAGUAGAACACGAUGACACCCAUUUUUGCAAAGGUCACCCGGUUGUAUUACACCAACCAAGGAAUGAUGUUUCAUCGGAUUGCACCAUAUUGGAUCUCAUUGAUCGUUUCCUCAAAAUUGUUUGUUUUGCGACAGUACAGUACUUUACGAGAUGAGACCAGAUAAUAAGCGACAGUCAGAGCAAAAACACUUGUCAUUUGGAGGUAUUUGGUUGCUUGGUUAUAUCAGCACAUCAAAUAUUUUGUUCACCUAUUCAACUCUAGACCGCAUGGGGCUUAGUUGAAUACACUUUUGGGGAAUUUUACUUUACUGUGAAAAUUGAUAUGUUUAUUAUAUUAUUUUUCACAUGUAUGCAGUCAGAGAGGUCCUGAAUUCAAAUGUAUCGGUGACAGGAAUUAUUUAUUUAAUUUUCUCCGGGGACCCAAAAAGAAGACAUCUUGUUCACAAUUAAGUAUUGGGAUUUUUUGGGGGAUUUUGUAAACUGCACAAUAUAUACAAUAUACAGAAUAUGAGCGGAUAAAUAUAAUUUCCUCCUCCAAUUCAGUAUAUUCCAUUUAGUAAAACCCCAUUUUUAAAAUCCGGCGCAGUCCCAUGUCUAUCCCUUCUCUAUUAUAUUAGGCUCAAGUUGUCCAGCCAACAGCCUGCUACUCUGCCACAAAGUUGAUUGGUUGGGUGCUUCCAAAAAGUGCAUAUUUGACUUUGCAUUAGAAAGGUCCAAAAUCAAUGAGGGGGCGGAGUACCUUCUCUUGUUAACAUCCUCCAUUAAAUGAAGCUUAGGCGAAAAUUCAGUCAGGAAGCCUGGACAGGCUGUGCCGUUCCCUGGGGGCGCACGGCCAGCUGAUUAGGGGCGGGUAGUACGGUGCAGGCAAACGUUAAAAACUGUUCUCCUCUCUUUUGCUGUCAGUUGUCAUUUCAUCUCGGCAUCCCGGCCCCUGGUCUAUCCUAUGGCAGGAUGGAGUCCAAGCCCCAAACAACUUUGCAAUAUAAAUAUUUAUGCCUGUUAUAAUAAAGCACUGUUAAAAUUUCAACAAGUGUCUCCGGAUUGAAAUGCAUAAAGGACAGAUGAGUACAGUGGUGUGUUGAAAAGAACGCGAUGGCAGCUUCGGAGCCCACUGAGGUUCCAUCAUCUGUCAGAAUCUGGAGUUUGCUGAGCAAAGAUGUGAAGUGAGAUUUACGCCAGCUGUUGCCCUGGGAGACGAGGGCAAUGAUCCCCAUAAUCCCAAGGUCAGGGCACUUUUUCACAUCAUUAUCACUCCUGGUUUUGUCCCGGGCUGCUGCCAGUGACCGAGGAGGCGGAGGGCACAUACUGUUAUGCCGCUACAGUAAACCUUAGUGAUGACCUGACAGGUUCAAGAACACGGAGGUUACCUCGGUGAUCUGUCAAGCCCAAGACCUCCUCAGGGAGAAGCCGGAUUAAAAUGCUGGUGCUGCAAAGGUAUAGGUUACAUGAGGUGAAGAGAAAGUGGCAGCCAUGGAAAAACACGGAUGAAGCGUGUGGUGUUAGUGUUAGCACAGACUACUUAAGAGUUAAUUAAAAAAUGGGCCGUAUUCAUGUAAAGUUGCAUUACAAAAUAUUUGGUUCUAGUGACUGGAUGUCACUAGAACCAAAUAUUCAGAACCAAUGUCUGGAGGUGGUCUCUAUAAUUGCCGGGAUAGUUAGUGAACCGCUGUUGCAGGCAAGCUGACAUUGGCUCCAAUGGCUCUUUUAUUCCAAAACCCCUAUUAGUCACUGGGCCGAAAGCUUGUAAAACAGCUCAAUAUCUUAAAUACAUCGGCCAUUGUUCCAAAAGAUGCUCCUUCUCUCCCAACAAACAAAUUCAUGGCGAAAUUAUUUUGCAGAUUGCAGGAAAAUCUAAAUGUCCGAUGACAUUGUAGAAAAACAGGCAGUAUUAUUUUAUCCCGUGUGUCUAUCCAGGCUAAUUGAUGCAUCUAAAUGUUACUUGAAAAAAACAUUUCUUUGCGAUUUCUUUGUAAUCAUCCAAAAUAAUUUAAGUGUAUGGGUAUUUUCUCAAGAAGGCCACUGACAGAUUGACACGUGCAAUGCAUUGAGUGGGCCUGUCUGAGAACCACUUUUCCCCCAGUCCGCAGUAAUCAUUUCAACUUUUAUUUGAUUUAAAAUGAGCUUGUAAACUGGCUUCUUGUGUUGUACAUGUCGUCUUUCAACUCUAUGACAAUAUGGAUGUUGUUUUUGAUUAGAACUGUGGCUCCAGGUUUGUGCCUGUGUCUCAGACACACUGUGCAGUCUAGCUUCACAGUUCCUUUGAAAUAUUAAUGAGACUGUCCACUGGACGUAUUCACAUUUCACAGUGAAGGCAUAGACGGCUUUCAUUAGGGGAUGUAUCAAAAGUAUUUUUUGUGUCACCCGGGAGCCGUCAGUGCAACGCUCUGUAGUGUGCCACUUAAUAACCUCUGCAGGGAUGCUAAAGCCUAACUGUUCUUUCUGACACAGCAGCCUAAAUUAGGUCCACAUGACGUGUUAACUGAUGAUACUUUUCCAGGGGAGGGCCGGCACUGCUGCCCUGUCCCUUUCAUCGCAUGAAUUAUAUCAUAUCAGUACGGAAGUAGGGCAGUACAGCUAAAAAAAGGGGCAGUGACUGUUACAUACACGUCAUGAAUUGGCUGGGGAAGCCUCUGGGAUAGAAGGGGGUGUUUGUCCUACAAGAUUAAUUUGGAUCUUAUUGCAGAAUAAUGGUAAAUGGACAGUACUUGUACAGCGCUUUUCUAGUCUUCUCAACAUUCAAAGAGCUUUAACACUUCAUGUUAUUAUUCACACACUGAUGACAGGAGCUACCAUAGACAGUGCCACCUGUCCAUCAGUACAUAGCAUUCACACACAGUUGUCACAGCUACUGGAGCAGUGUUGGGGUUAAGUGUCUUGUCCAAAGACACAUCGCAAGCGGGUUAGGAGGUCCACGAUUUGGGAUUGCUAAUCCUCUAAUUGGCGGACGGCCAUGUUCUCCACUCAUCCGCGGUUGCUCACAAUGAGGGAUUUGUGGCAAAAUCAUAAAGGCGUCAGAGCAAGAGUGGUUAAAGGCUUUGUGUGCGUUCAUGUGCUGUUGUGUCUGUUUCCUUGUGUGCGUUCAUGUGCUGUUGUGUCUGUUUCCUUAUUGGGUUAUUUUGUAGUCAUGGUCAGGUUUCGACUUGACUAUAAACCAUGGGCAUGAUUGCUUUACAUGGUCAAUUAUUUGUACAUUGCUAAUAACAUUUUGCAUUUUGAUUGCAAAUUCAAAUGAACCUCCAUCACGAGUUUAAUUUGUUGUUUCAGGUUUUACAAUCCAGAGAACAUCAAGGAAAGAUUCCAGAAUAAAAUAGGAGACUCCGAGACAUGAAUCAUUUAAUAAAAAGUCCUUUAUUUAAAGGUACGGGUAAUGUGGUCAAAUCUAACAAACGUUCCUCUCAGUCGGGUCUUUGGUGCGCGAUCACUCGUCUUGUGUGGACAGAACAAAAGAGAAAAGUAAAUUGACUAGAUUACUUCCUGUUUAAUCUCGCACUCCUCGAGCCAUUUAGGUGAUCUUUGUCGUCUUCUCCGGUUCAGUCAGUCCUCUUCUUGCUUCUUCCCAGCCCUGUCAAUAUAUAUAAUCUCUGUAAUCUGGUUGAUGGUCAGCAGGAAUGACCAAUGCCAUGUGCUCAUUUGCUGCAGACCCUGCACUGGGUAGUACACCCUGUAUUAGUAGUAAUACCUCCCCCCACCUGAACUUGGGGAUUGACACCCUGGGCAUUACCUGCUUACCUUUUCACCCUGGUCUGCCACAAUUUAUGCAACAAAACAAUUUAGAUUGGGUUUAAAUGGUAAAUGGCCUGUACUUGUAUAGCGCUUUUCUAGUCUUCUGACCACUCAAAGCGCUUUAACACUACAUGACAUUAUUCACCCAUUCAUACACUGAUGACAGGAGAACCAUACACGGUGACACCUGCCAUCAGUAACUACGGUUCACACACUGUAGUCGCAGCUACAGGAGCAAUGUUGGGUUAAGUGUCUUGCCCAAGGACACAACAGCAUGCGGGAUAGCCUGGCCUGGGAUCGAACCGACAACCCUCUGAUUGGAGGACGACCGUGCUCCCCACCCACCCACUGUUGCCCCCCCGGUUUAGGAAAUACAGUUACUGGAUUAGACAUUCAGUGCGUAGGCUACUUGACAAAAGAAAGUGAAAAGUAGUCAAUUUUAAAAUGAGGCCUUCUGGGUUACAAUUCUGCCUAUUCAACCUGUCCAAUCUCUCUGCCAAUACGUCCAAGCAUCAUUUGAUCUGACCAUCUAAUUUAACACUUACUUGGAAGUGCAUCUCAUACAGACACAGUAUGUUCUGGUUGGACGGCAUUGAGGACGCCAAAGGGCCCGUACCAAGUGUUUCGUGACAACUUGGGAAUGAGAAUGGGUUGGACAGAAAGCCGCAUGUAUUGCGUUUCCUAUAAACAGAAACUGAUCAGCUGCUCAGAGUUGUUGUCCAUCUCAGUGUUGCGUCAGAUGCGGCUGCACCACAUCCACUCUCUGGCUGUCUCAUUACUGAAACAGAGGCUAAGAUUAGAGAGCGUCUUUCUGGCUGGAUGGAGAUACCACACUCAAGAGUUAGCAUUAACACAGAAUAUCAUAUUACGUCUAUGUUUUAGUAUUCUUGACGGACUCUCCAGUGUUUACUUGUAGUAACACUUUGUAGUCUCUAAAUAUGUUAUGAUUGAAUAAGUACACUGCACGGAUUGAUGCAUAAAUGAUAAAGAACCUCUGGUUUUGAAGGAAUCAGGAACAUUUAUCACUGAAAUAUGUUAGACAUACUAGGAAUUUGACUUGGCGGUUGGUGCAUAACAUCAGACAAGACAAUGGACAGAUAAGACAACAUAGUGCAAGAACAUUGCAAUAGUAAUUUAAAUUAAAAAGGAAAUGUUAAAGAAGUUUAAAAAAAAAUAAAGUGCACCAUGGAACAGAAAGUGACAAGUGUAUGUGCAUGUGGAGCGUGAAGGGAGUGACGGGUGGGAUGUCGGAGUCAGUCAGACCCGGGCGCUGUUGACUGACUGCCGACGGGAAGAAACUGUUCUGAUGGACCUCAGCCUCCUGCCAGAUGGAAGGGGCACAACCCAUUUUUGACCGGGGGGAAUAGGGGUCGGCUGCUUUUAGUUGAGCUGACUUGAGGUCAGGUGUGAUGAUGGAGCAGGAAACGGAAGGAAUUCAUAGCAAUUACGGGGUCACACAGGGUGAAUGGGGAAGGUGGGACUGCUUUCUUCGUGAAAUACACCACUAUCUCCACUGUUUUUAGAGCGUUGAGCUCCAGGUUGUUCUGGCUGCACCACGACACCAGAUGGUCAAACUCCCACCUGCAGGCGGACUCAUUCCCCACCAGAGAUCAGUCCAAUGAGGGUGGUGUCAUCCGCAAACUUCAGGAGCUUGACGGAGAGGCUUCCUGUGCUGCUUCCUGUCGGACAGGAAGUCAGUGAUCCACUUGCAGGUGGAGUCGGGCACGUGUAGCUGAGAGAGUUUGUCUGGCAGCAGAGACGGGAUAAUGGUGUUGAAGGCAGAGAUCCUGCCGUAGGUUCCUGGGGAGUCCAGAAGCUGGAGGGCCAUGUUGACAGAAUCGUCUACAGACCUAUUUGCGCUGUAGGCGAACUGCAGGGGGUCCAGGAGGCUUUUCAGGUGGGACAGGACUAGCCGUUCAAAAGACUUCAUGACUACAGGAGGUCAGGGCUACGGGCCUGUAGUCAUUAAGUUCUGUGAUCCUGGGCUUCUUGGGAACAGGGAUGAUGGUGGAGGCCUUGAAGCAGGCUGGUACUGGUGGUAUAUCUCCAGGGAGAUUUCACGUCAAUGAUCAGAUGUAUCAAGAGCAAAAUGACCGUGGAAAUGUGCAGUGCCUCACGCCAACUUCAGGGCUGUCGUACGCCCUGCAUACUAUUAAAACAAUGGCUGCUUUAGAACUACUAGAAGACAUUGCAAAUUGUGCAAUAAGGAGAUAGCACAUAUUUAGAGACAGAGGAUUUGCUUGCACAUGAGGACAACUGGCUUAUCAGCCGCUUUGGGUUCCCGAGGACAAUCCUCCUCGAACUACGUGCAGAGCUAUGGCCGGCGUUGGAGCGCAGCACAGCGAGGAGCCAAGCACACGCUCGCCCACACGCUCCUCUUACGCUUGGCAUGUUAUCAUCAGGAAUAAGCGGCAAACAGCACAUUUUUGCCUCCACUUCAGAAAGUAAUCCAUGUUACUCAUUCCUUUUUUCUACCUUUUAUGAUCAUGCAGAGAGGGGAUCGCAGGUGCAGGGCUCAUUAUUUGCAUAUUUGUGCGCUCAAUUCCCUGUUGAUUGGGAUGUACAAAGGAAAUUUGCUUGGACUCACGUGUUCGCACACAUUGAUACGUCCGGAUAUUUUUGUGCGUGGGAGGGCAUUUGGAUUUGAUCGUAUGCCAUGAGCCAGUAAGAAAUCCACGCAAGUCUUUGUACAUAAGGCCCCUGGUGGGCACAAUGCUUCAGGGUGUCAGGGAGACUGAGUCCGGACCGGCUGCUUUGCGAGGGUUUUGUCUUUUAAAGAGCCUGUUAACGUUUCUCUCCAGAAUAAAGAGGGUCGUUGCUGGUGAGGGGGUUGGGGAAUGGGAGGGUGAUAGAAAGGCAUAAGCCCUGGAUAGGUUGGGGGGGGCGGGGUCAGGCAGCUCUUAUACCUUCAGCUGGCCUCCAAACCAACGUGUUGUGUCUCUACAGCCAGGAGACUGGCAUCUUAUCGGUGUGAGACACGCCAGCUCAAUUCUUUAUCAUGACCACACCAUCCCAGCAUUUGCAAUUUAUAACAUGUUCAUUCAAUGCAACAUUUUGAAGGGUUACAUACAUUCUUCCAUUACAAGCAUCUCACUGCCUUGCUAAACUUGUAUUUUUAUGAAUCCUUUCUGACUACUGUCGGCAAGACAUGCUAUAUUAAGCAGUCUGUUAACAUGUAUUCAAGAAACCCUGUUACUUCCAAACAUCCAAUUAAAUUGAAAAUCAUAACACAAUUGCGUCUACUCUAAUCGUUCUUGUUACUGUGGAAACUGUAUGACUUCUUUAUGUCACGGUUUGGGUUCAUUUUGUAGUUUUCUGCCUCUUGUCUCCCUGGUUAACUUCACUUCCUGCCUUGUCCUGUCAUCCCCUAUGAUUGUCUGAUUGUUUCCACCUGUGUCCAAUCAUCUGCACCUCCCUUGUGUAUUUAAGCCAUGUGUGUCUCUUGUCACUUGUCACGUCAUUGUUGAAUGUUCCUGGCUUCCGUCUGCCUAUUUGCUUUUUGAGUUUUUGACCAUUGAAGUCCCUUUUUGAGUCCUGCCUUCCCUGCAUCCCUGACACUUUGACUUCUUGAACCUACUUACUGUCUGUUUAAUGUCUGAAAUGACGCUAUUUCAAAUAAAACCUGCAUCAAUGCAUGCAAUGAUACUAGCCUUUACCCAUCAAAAAUCCUGUGAAUCGUAUAGGGAUGUACUAAAAUUACAUCUCUUUAUGUUGAGUUCAAAAGUCCUUUUUCUUUCCGUUCUUUUGCUGUAUUACAAUAAUGUUGUUGUGCUUAAGGAAAGGAACCUUUUCGCUGGAGAUUAUUUUCCAGAUCUGGGAAGGAAGCCAAAAUAUUUGUAGGAACAAUUAGUUUUUAAUAAACAAAAUAUAUAUAUUUCUGACCACUGCAGCCAUAUCUUUGGAGUCUAAUAACCCCACAAGGUUUGGCUGCAUAAUGACAAAAAACGAAUGGAUUAAAUUAAACUAAAGUAGGGAUUUUAUUUAGUAUCUCUUCAUUUCUAAUUCAUUGUCAAAACAGUGCUUCUAUUUAAUGUAAGCCAGUUCCUUAAAGUACCUUUUAGUAGCUAAUCGACACUUUGAUUGAUGCGCUGCUGUGAAUGUAGAAAAUCCUAGAACGGGAGCUGUUCUCCAAGGUAAAAUUUGUGUUUUGACAAAUGUUUCUGAAAAUGGACCAUUGUAACUUUGAAGUAAGUCAUAGUAAGAAUAAUGACUGCAGGUACCCGUCUGAAGGUGAGAUAAGGUAGUAGAAAUAGUGACUAUAACAUUCACCUGAACUGAAGCCAGCAUAUGGCUUUCUUUAAAAGCUCUGGUGAUAGAAACACUUAUUUUAACCCACAGAAAACAGGAGUAUUUAUUCAACCCCACUUAAAAAUAAUCCAAUUUACCCUGCAUCUAGGUACUAACAUUUGGUGGAAAGUCUGAAACCAUAAGAGUGGAGGCUGUUGCAGCAGCAGCACCACGUGAAUCCCUGUGAUAAUGGAGUAACUUGUACAUAUACUUUCAAUGAAGUAUCGAAAAGCUGACAUAGAUGAAAAGAAACAACUCAACAUCCAUAAAACCUGAGCUUAUCAUGUAUGAAAAUCAAGUGAACACUGCACUUUUCAAUUCCAGAUUGCAACCUCAAUUACUGUAGUUAUGCCAAGCAUAAGUACAGCUAGCAUUACUGUGUUUGAUACCUUAAACACACCCCUGUUGUGCUCAAGCAAUCUUAUAAACUAUAGAUUAUUAUAGGUCACACAAUCUUUGGAGGGGAAAUGUGUUUAUUUUGUGUAAUUUUUUUGUGCUGAGUGUCAUCAUCCCAAGUGCAGGCUGUCAUCUCCGGCUGCGAGAGCAGCAACUUCCUUGCUGAAUUGACUCCUGUUUAGAUUAGUAUGCUAAUGUACUAGAGUCAAAUUUCCACCAUGGAGAAUAGAGGAAUCUCUCAGAAUUUGUCUGGAGACUGUGAGCCUCCAGCAGUCAUGUUGGUUGGUGAAACAUGUCACUGAAGAAGGGAAAACUCUGUGUCAUUGAAUAUCUUUACAUAUAGAAUAAAACGUACACAUUUACACAUCCAUUUACCUUCAUAAAAAUUU